rnacentral:rRNA from 1 species
GACGAACGCUGGCGGCGUGCCUAAUACAUGCAAGUAGAACGCUGAAGGAGGAGCUUGCUUCUCUGGAUGAGUUGCGAACGGGUGAGUAACGCGUAGGUAACCUGCCUGGUAGCGGGGGAUAACUAUUGGAAACGAUAGCUAAUACCGCAUAAGAGUAGAUGUUGCAUGACAUUUGCUUAAAAGGUGCAAUUGCAUCACUACCAGAUGGACCUGCGUUGUAUUAGCUAGUUGGUGUGGUAACGGCUCACCAAGGCGACGAUACAUAGCCGACCUGAGAGGGUGAUCGGCCGACCUGGGAAUGAGACCCGGCCCAGACGCCUACGGGAGGCGGCAGGAGGGAAUCUUCGGCAAGGGACGGAAGUUUGAGCGAGCAACGCCGCGGGAGUGAAGAAGGUUGUCGGAUCGUAGAGCUCUGUUGUAAGGGAAGAACGAGUGUUAGAGUGGAAAGUUCACACUGUGACGGUAUCUUACCAGAAAGGGACGGCUAACUACGUG